rnacentral:rRNA from 1 species
AUUUCCUACGGGAGGCAGCAGUGGGGAAUAUUGCACAAUGGGGGAAACCCUGAUGCAGCAACGCUGCGUGAAGGAAGAAGGGUUUCGGCUCGUAAACUUCUAUCGAUAGGGACGAAAGAGAUGACGGUACCUAAAUAAGAAGCCCCGGCUAACUACGUGCCAGCAGCCGCGGUAAUACGUAGGGGGCAAGCGUUAUCCGGAUUUACUGGGUGUAAAGGGAGCGUAGACGGCAGAGCAAGUCUGAAGUGAAAGCCCGCGGCCCAACUGCGGGACUGCUUUGGAAACUGCCCGGCUAGAGUGCUGGG